GGGGGAUUAGCUCAGCUGGCUAGAGCGCCUGCCUUGCACGCAGGAGGUCAUCGGUUCGACUCCGAUNNNNNGGUCAUCGGUUCGACUCCGAUAUUCUCCA
rnacentral:tRNA from 1 species